UCAGAUUUGUGUGAAAUUUCGAAAGCCU
rnacentral:piRNA from 1 species